UUUAAGUGUAACCAUGACUUUCCGCGCUAAACUUUGAUCGUUCGUCUUAUUUGAAUUUUUUUAUAAUUAGUAUUUUUGUUGUUAUGAGAUGAUAAAACAUGAGUACUGAUGUUUUUGAAUUUUUUUAAAAAAUUUUCAAAUAAGAUGGAUGAUUAAAUUUGGACGCAGAAAACCAUGGAUACACUAAAA
rfam:Oryza rufipogon genomic scaffold, chr05